GGGGUGCUCGAGUGGCGAACGGGUGAGUAACACGUGAGUAACCUGCCCUUGACUUUGGGAUAACUUCAGGAAACUGGGGCUAAUACCGGAUAGGAGCUCCUGCUGCAUGGUGGGGGUUGGAAAGUUUCGGCGGUUGGGGAUGGACUCGCGGCUUAUCAGCUUGUUGGUGGGGUAGUGGCUUACCAAGGCUUUGACGGGUAGCCGGCCUGAGAGGGUGAUCGGCCACACUGGAACUGAGACACGGUCCAG
rnacentral:rRNA from 1 species